rnacentral:rRNA from 1 species
CCUACGGGAGGCAGCAGUGAGGAAUCUUUGUCAAUGGGAGAGAUCCUGAACCAGCCAAGCCGCGUGAGGGAAGACGGCCCUAUGGGUUGUAAACCUCUUUUGUCGGAGAACAAAACCCGGGACGUGUCCCGGACUACGUGUAUCCGAAGAAAAAGCAUCGGCUAACUCCGUGCCAGCAGCCGCGGUAAUACGGAGGCUUCAAGCGUUAUCCGGAUUUAUUGGGUUUAAAGUGUGCGGAGGCGGUCGGAUAAGUUAGAGGUGAAAUCCCGAGGCUCAACUUCGGAAGUGCCUCUGAUACUGUGCGACUAGAGAGUAGUUGCGGGAGGCGGAAUGCAUGGUGUAGCGGUGAAAUGCGUAGAGAUCAUACAGAACACCGAUUGCGAAGGCAGCUUACCAGGC